rnacentral:rRNA from 1 species
AUGCUCCAGGAGGAACUCGCCCCUUCCCACCGCCGUCGCUUCCUCAACGUCUCCACCGGCGAGUGCAUAAAACUUGAUCUUCCAGAGCUCCGCGACCACGAAACACUUGGGCGCACGUCCGAGGGCCUCCUCUUCCUGCUCCACAAGCGCACCAACAUUCGACUACUAAAUCCGCUCACGCGCCACCUCGAAGAGCUCCCGCCACUGAUCACGCUGCUGCCUCCUUACCGGUACACCUACCUCAUCAGUACUACUCAUUUCGAGCAAUGCAUGACAGCGUGGGGCUGCGGCAUCACCGAUGAUUCCGUGGUCGUGUCGUAUUUACACAAACUUCGCAUCCUAGCCGUCGCCAAGCCUGGCGAUGAGCGCUGGACAUCGGUUUCAUACAAAAGCCAUCCGUCAAACCUUUAG